GACGAACGCUGGCGGCGUGCUUAACACAUGCAAGUCGAACGGAAAGGCCCUGCUUUUGUGGGGUGCUCGAGUGGCGAACGGGUGAGUAACACGUGAGUAACCUGCCCUUGACUUUGGGAUAACUUCAGGAAACUGGGGCUAAUACCGGAUAGGAGCUCCUGCUGCAUGGUGGGGGUUGGAAAGUUUCGGCGGUUGGGGAUGGACUCGCGGCUUAUCAGCUUGUUGGUGGGGUAGUGGCUUACCAAGGCUUUGAGGGGUAGCCGGCCUGAGAGGGUGACCGGCCACAUUGGGACUGAGAGACGGCCCAGACUCCAACGGGAGGCAGCAGUGGGGAAUAUUGCACAAUGGGCGGAAGCCUGAUGCAGAAACGCCGCGUGCGGGAUGACGGCCUUCGGGUUGUAAACCGCUUUCGCCUGUGACGAAGCGUGAGUGACGGUAAUGGGUAAAGAAGCACCGGCUAACUACGUG
rnacentral:rRNA from 1 species